GGGGGUGCACCGGUUUCGACUGGUACGGUUCGGGGUGCAGGUUGCAGGUGGAGCGUCGAUCUCCUAACAUUCGACAAAACUUAUAAUUGCCAGAAACGACAAUUACAGCUACGCCUUAGCGGCAUAACUGCGUGGAACCGUCCCGCCGCCUUGAGGGACGACUUCCGCGUUGCAAUCAAGGCUGGUUGCGCGGCGGCUUUCGGACGCUGCGCGACAAGAUUUCCCGAAAUACGGACGGGCCGCACGCUGUGCAGCCAAGUCUGUCCCGACAAUGCAAUGCACAGCUAAACCUGUAGACGCCUGCGCGCCGCGUAUUAGGACGCGAGUUCAACUCUCGCCACCUCCAA
rnacentral:tmRNA from 1 species